CCUACGGGAGGCAGCAGUGGGGAAUAUUGGGCAAUGGGCGCAAGCCUGACCCAGCAACGCCGCGUGAAGGAAGAAGGCUCUCGGGUUGUAAACUUCUUUUAUCCGGGACGAAGCAAGUGCCGGUACCUGAUGCAUAAGCCACGGCGAACUACGUGCCAGCAGCCGGGGUAAUACGUAGGUGGCAAGCGUUAUCCGGAUUUCCUGGGUGUAAAGGGCGUGUAGGCGGGAAAGCAAGUCAGAUGUGAAAACCAUGGGGUCAACCUGUGGCCUGCAUUUGAAACUGUUUUUCUUGAGUACUGGAGAGGCAGACGGAAUUCGUGGUGUAGCGGUGAAAUGCAUAGAUAUCAGGAGGAACACCAGUGGCGAAGGCGGUCUGCUGGACAGCAACUGACGCUGAGGCGCGAAAGCGUGGGGAGCAAACAGGAUUAGAUACCCGGGUAGUC
rnacentral:rRNA from 1 species